rnacentral:lncRNA from 1 species
CUAAAUUCUCUCAUUUUGCUUUCAAGAAGACUUUGCUUCCCAAUUUAUAUUAGAAUGAUAGGUUGAAAAUCCUUCUUGCUAUAAGUCCAUAUUCAUUGCAUUGGUCCAUGCCUCUCUCAUUCUAAAAGUAGCUGUCUCCAUCCCUUCUAUAAGCAGGGCUUUUUUCCUCAGAUGCAACUAAUAAAAUACGAAAUUCUUCUGUAAAGGAAAG